rnacentral:rRNA from 1 species
UACGGAGGGGACUAGCGUUGUUCGGAAUUACUGGGCGUAAAGCGCGCGCAGGCGGCUAUCCAAGUCAGUGGUGAAAGCCCGGAGCUCAACUCCGGAACUGCCAUUGAAACUGUUUAGCUUGAGGAUGAGAGAGGUGAGUGGAAUUCCCAGUGUAGAGGUGAAAUUCGUAGAUAUUGGGAAGAACACCGGUGGCGAAGGCGGCUCACUGGCUCAUUACUGACGCUCAGGCGCGAUAGCGUGGGGAUCAAACAGG